GGGGGACAAGGAAAUACUUUUCUUUCUUAUUCUCAUUUAAAAUGUCUCGCUUUUAAAAAAAAUAAUUAUCUGAGUCUUACAACAAACAAUUGAUAGAUUGAUACAUAUAUACCAUCAGAACAGUGUACAUCACUGUCACAACAGUGUUUAUUUUCAUUCAAAGGCUUUAUGAUUUUUCCUAUAAUGGUGGGCCGGUCUCUAGUCAAAAUGCCCGGGACAAUUGUUUUGUCCCAGUCCAGCUCUGUAUGCAGCUCAUCUGCAGUCUGGUGUUACCUACAUCUUCCUAUUCAGAAGGCAGAAUUUCCGAGUUCUGAGUACAAUCGAAAGCACCACGACUGCAGUUUUUGUGUUGGAUGUAAAAAGCAGGCUAGAAUCAUGCGGCGGUCAACGACGGUCCAGGCGUGGGAUUUCUCUCGUGGAAAUGUGCACAUUAUUUUUUCCUUUCUAUUGGUAGGUGGCACAGUGCACUUGUGGCAAGUAAGCAAGCUAGAAGACUGGCAGUGUGGCUGGGUAUCCAGUUACGGAAGCAACACAUUAACAAGAGAAUUCUGAGUAAAACCAAAGUUACUUUCCCUAGUAACUAGUUACUUUGAAAGUAACGAGUAACUUGAAGUAACUGAGUUACUUUUUUAGAGAAGUAACUAGUAAUGUAACUAAGUUACUAAUUUAAAGUCACUUACCCAACACUGGUCAUUUAUGUUUACAAAUAUCUACUCAUAUAUGCUCAGAGUUUUAUAAUUAGUUGUAGAUAGAUAGAAGUUUCAUCCCUAGUAGUCUGUGGAGACUCUGACAUUCACAUACACACAUACUUACAUACCAGAAAAUGUACAACAAGAUGUUACAUACUGAUAUCUCACUUAAAAGUUAUACUGACAACAGGAGGGAAUGUCAAUGGAAAAUUGUACAUAGUAGUCAGUAUAAUCUUUUAAUGAUAUAAGUUUCCAUAUAUGCUUAGAGGUGUAUAAUCGAUUGUGUAGUGAUAGAAUGUGUGAUCUUUAGAAGGCUUUGUGUGCAUUCCAGAGUGCUCUGGCUUUCACACCCACAUUUUGGGAGCAUGGGAGAGGUCGUACCUUGUCUUAUUGUUUUAUGAUAGGAUAAACGUAUCUAUGUAUGUUUUAGGCUAAGUGCCUUUUGUUUAGAUGAACUGUUGGACUUUCAGACCAGCAGGUUUAGGGAAG
ensembl:lncRNA